UACGGGGGGGGCAAGCGUUGUUCGGAAUUACUGGGCGUAAAGGGCUCGUAGGCGGCCUACUAAGUCAGACGUGAAAUCCCCCGGCUUAACCUGGGAACUGCGUCUGAUACUGGAAGGCUUGAGUAUGGGAGAGGGAUGUAGAAUUCCAGGUGUAGCGGUGAAAUGCGUAGAUAUCUGGAGGAAUACCGGUGGCGAAGGCGGCAUCCUGGACCAUUACUGACGCUGAGGCGCGAAAGCUAGGGGAGCAAACGGG
rnacentral:rRNA from 1 species